CCUACGGGUGGCAGCAGUGGGGGAUAUUGGACAAUGGGGGGAACCCUGAUCCAGCGACGCCGCGUGAGUGAAGAAGUAUUUCGGUAUGUAAAGCUCUGUCAGCAGGGAAGAAAGAAAUGACGGUACCUGACCAAGAAGCCCCGGCUAACUACGUGCCAGCAGCCGCGGUAAUACGUAGGGGGCAAGCGUUAUCCGGAUUUAUUGGGUUUAAAGGGUGCGCAGGCGGAGGUGCAAGUCAGCGGUCAAAUUGCGGGUCUCAACCCCGUACUGCCGUUGAAACUGCAUCCCUUGAGUGCGCGAGAAGUAUGCGGAAUGCGUGGUGUAGCGGUGAAAUGCAUAGAUAUCACGCAGAACUCCGAUUGCGAAGGCAGCAUACCGGCGCGCAACUGACGCUCAUGCACGAAAGCGUGGGUAUCGAACAGGAUUAGAUACCCUAGUAGUC
rnacentral:rRNA from 1 species